UAAUUCGAAGCAACGCGAAGAACCUUACCUAAGCUUGACAUCCCAAUGACAUCUCCUUAAUCGGAGAGUUCCCUUCGGGGACAUUGGUGACAGGUGGUGCAUGGUUGUCGUCAGCUCGUGUCGUGGGAUGUUGGGUUAAGUCCCGCAACGAGCGCAACCCUUGUCUUUAGUUGCCAUCAUUAAGUUGGGCACUCUAGAGAGACUGCCAGGGAUAACCUGGAGGAAGGUGGGGAUGACGUCAAAUCAUCAUGCC
rnacentral:rRNA from 1 species